AGAGUUUGAUCCUGGCUCAGGACGAACGCUUGCGACGUGCCUAAGAAAUGCAAGUCGAACGGGGGAGCAAUCCCUAGUGGCGAACGGUCGCGUAACACGUGGGCAACCUGCCCUGAAGCGGGGGACAACAGCUUGAAAGAGCUGCUAAUACCGCAUGUGUAUCGGAAUGGCAUCAUUCAGGAUACAAAGGACUUCGGUUCACUUCAGGAUGGGCCCGCGUCCUAUCAGCUAGUUGGUGUGGUAACGGCGCACCAAGGCUUCGACGGGUAGCUGGUCUGAGAGGACGAUCAGCCGGAUUGGGACUGAGAUACGGCCCAGACUCCUACGGGGGGCAGCAAUUAGGAAUCUUGCACAAUGGGGGAAACCCUGAUGCAGCGACGUCGCGUGAAGGAUGAAAUCUUUCGGGAUGUAAACUUCUUUUUCUGGGGAAGAAACAAAUGACGGUACCCAGAGAAUAAGCCCCGGCUAACUACGUGCCAGCAGCCGCGGUAAUACGUAGGGGGCGAGCGUUGUCCGAAGUUACUGGGCGUAAAGCGCGCGUAGGCGGGUUUUUAAGUGAGGGGUGAAAGUCCGAGGCUCAACCUCGGAACUGCCUUUCAUACUGGGAGCCUUGAGUGCGGGAGAGGCGAGUGGAAUGGUCGGUGUAGCGGUGAAAUGCGUAGAUAUCGAUCGGACCACACCUGUUCCUGGCUGCUCGCUGGCCUAUAACUGACGCUGAGGCGCGAAAGCGUGGGGAGCAAACAGGAUUAGAUACCCNGGUAGUCC
rnacentral:rRNA from 1 species